rnacentral:lncRNA from 1 species
CUACAGGGAUGGCGGUUCCAUCUUCGCGGUCACAUGCGACCCUCCUCUCUCCCAAAGGCGGCCUUUUCAAGGCCUUCUCCUUGCACCUUGGGGUGUCCGUCCGGCGGGGCGGGGCUUGGUGGGGGUCGCAGAGACACCUUGACCACGGCAUCCACAUCUGUGUGCGUGCGUGCAUGCGUUGGCGGCUGUGACCUCGCUCCGUGGCUGUGGGCGGUGGCAGUGACCUCACUCUGCGGCUGCGGUGAACGGUCACGGUUCUGCAGCGGGGAACACCGGCGGGCCUCAAGUCACGCGGCGGCGGCGAGGGGAACCGGGGACCCCGGAAACAGCUGCGGGCCGAGGAAGCCCGGUCUGUGCGCGGCGGAGCCUGUCAUGGCAGCAGAGCCCGCCCGCUUCUCCCGUGCAGGGCCCGGGAAGGCUGCGUUCGCAGCGGUGGAGGCACAAGGAGGCAGAGGGACCUCAGCAGGGCCAAGUGCGGGCGGCGGAGGCCGGGUCCCCCCGCAGGGGAGAUGGCGGCGAACCGGGAAAGUCCGCGGAGCUGUAAGAGUAACAAGAAGAAUGAAUGCUUCUCUCCUAAAUGCUCCUCAGGUCAGUGUCUUGUCUACAUUUCUUAGAAAUUCCUCUUAUUAUUUAAGCCAUUUGAAACUUUAGUUCUCUACCUCUGGUAAUGUUACCAAAAGUGUUUGGCUUCUUUAAUUUAUCUUGUUCUUUGCCAAAGGUCAAAAUUAAGCCUUUAGAUCUUUCACUUCAAAUGGGACAAGCACAGACUUGUGCUGUUCUAUUUUCACUGGAUUUUAUACUAUGAGAACAUACAUUUCCAAGGAAUGAAGACCUGCAGUUCUGGUAGAGAAAGUAUUGUAGACGAUACUCAAAUAAUAUUUUAAUGACUAAUUUUUACACUGGUGCCCUUUUAUAUUUCCUGGGGAAAAGAGGUCUCAGGUGCUACAUAAGUUGCAUUUCAGGAAUAGUAAGGUUUCUAGAAACAUCUUUCUGAAUGUAGCUUUUCAAAUACAUGGUCACUGACAUCACGGAGCAAUAUAUGGAUGAGUAGAGUUUAUGAGGAAGUAGAAUUAGAAUAUAUUCACUGUCUUAAAUCCUAAUAGUAAAUAUUUCAACUCCAUAGAGGAACAGAUGAUGGAAGGAGUAUGUAGCUUUCUCUGACCGUAACAUUGAUGUGUUUGUGAGGACAUGCAGAUUGCAGUAUUCUGGCAUCUCUUUUUGGCCUUUUGUGUUACACAGUGAACAUGAGUGUGUUGACAAAUGAAAUUUGUUUGUCUCUAAGAGGCUGUGCAAUGUUCAGUGUGGU